UGGGAACCCAGUAAACAGUUCGUUAUAUGUGAACUGCAUUUCACUGCAGACGACAUUGAGAAAAUUACCAGUGCUUACGACCCAAAACUGGCAAACUCUUUACAGUUUACAGCACCUUUGGACCGUCCACGUUUAAAGAAACGUUCGUGAAAAUUUAUCGUAAAGGAUGCUGUACCAUCAAAGUUGCCAGGAUGACCUACGUCUUUAUCUUCAAAACAAGCACCAGCUCGAGAAGAUCCAGAGAGUCGCGAAUGUUUGGAGAACCAAGCACUUGAGAAAGUCAUUGAGCACAGUGUGGAAUCACACAAAAAAUGAUGGAGAAGAGUUCAUUUGCUAGUUUAGAAGAUUUUAAAUCAAAAUUAUCUGAUUGUGAAAAGCACAGUGACUGGGUCACGGUAACCAAAUCAA